AUGGGCGUCGCCAAGGCAAUGGCGCCUGUGGCGCUCGGCCUCCUAGUUGCGGUGGUCCUCGUCGGGACGGCGGGCACGAGCCUUCUCGCCGGCUGCGCAGGACCAGAGAGGAUGGAUCUCCAGGAGCACGAGGUCUGGGUGCGCUACCUCCUCGUCCGCAUCGCCCCCGUGGCCGCCGGGAUAUUCUUCUGGGCCGGCAUGGCGGACGACGACCUGAGAGCCACCGCGUGGGAGCUGCGCGUGCUGUUCGUCGUCGGCCUCAACCUCUCCUUCGCCUCGUCGCUCCUCGCCCUCGCCGCCCUGACCACGGAGUUCUCCUGCGACUGCGUCGUCCACUGGAUAGCGAUGAUCGUGGCGCUCGCCGCCGCGCAUCUCGUCGCCGUUUGGGCAGCCCGGGGUCGUCUCCGUGCACUGAAGCUCCGUCGAGCGUUCUAG
rnacentral:rRNA from 1 species